UACGUAGGGUGCGAGCGUUGUCCGGAAUUAUUGGGCGUAAAGAGCUCGUAGGCGGUUUGUUGCGUCUAUCGUGAAAACCUGCAGCUUAACUGUGGGCUUGCGGUGGAUACGGGCAGACUUGAGUUCGGUAGGGGAGACUGGAAUUCCUGGUGUAGCGGUGAAAUGCGCAGAUAUCAGGAGGAACACCGGUGGCGAAGGCGGAUCUCUGGGCCUUACCUGACGCUGAGGCGCGAAAGCUAGGGGGAGCGAACAGG
rnacentral:rRNA from 1 species